UCCCGCAGCAAUGCGGGAGCUGGCGACCGGCAAACGGGUGCGGAACACGUACACAACCUUCCUUUUAGUGGGGAAUAGCCCGGGGAAACCCGGAUUAAUACCCCGUAACAUAAUGAAGUGGCAUCACUUUAUUAUUAUAGCAGCAAUGCGCUUUAAGAUGGGUGUGCGACUGAUUAGGCAGUUGGCGGGGUAACGGCCCACCAAACCUACGAUCAGUAACUGGUGUGAGAGCACGACCAGUCACACGGGCACUGAGACACGGGCCCGACUCCUACGGGAGGCAGCAGUAAGGAAUAUUGGUCAAUGGACGCAAGUCUGAACCAGCCAUGCCGCGUGGAGGAUGAAGGUCCUCUGGAUUGUAAACUUCUUUUAUCUGGGAAGAAACCCACGAAUUCUUUUGUGGUUGACGGUACCAGAUGAAUAAGCACCGGCUAACUCCGUGCCAGCAGCCGCGGUAAUACGGAGGGUGCAAGCGUUAUCCGGAUUCACUGGGUUUAAAGGGUGCGUAGGUGGGCAGGUAAGUCAGUGGUGAAAUCUCCGGGCUUAACUCGGAAACUGCCAUUGAUACUAUCUGUCUUGAAUACCGUGGAGGUCAGCGGAAUAUGUCAUGUAGCGGUGAAAUGCUUAGAUAUGACAUAGAACACCAAUUGCGAAGGCAGCUGGCUACACGAAUAUUGACACUGAUGCACGAAAGCGUGGGGAUCAAACAGGAUUAGAUACCCUGGUAGUCCACGCCCUAAACGAUGGAUACUCGACAUACGCGAUAUACUGUGUGUGUCUGAGCGAAAGCAUUAAGUAUCCCACCUGGGAAGUACGAUCGCAAGAUUGAAACUC
rnacentral:rRNA from 1 species